AUUGAACGCUGGCGGCAUGCCUUACACAUGCAAGUCGAACGGCAGCACGGGUGCUUGCACCUGGUGGCGAGUGGCGAACGGGUGAGUAAUACAUCGGAACGUACCUUAUCGUGGGGGAUAACGCAGCGAAAGCUGUGCUAAUACCGCAUACGCCCUGAGGGGGAAAGCGGGGGAUCGCAAGACCUCGCGCGAUUAGAGCGGCCGAUGCCUGAUUAGCUUGUUGGUGGGGUAAAAGCCCACCAAGGCGACGAUCAGUAGCUGGUCUGAGAGGACCAUCAGCCACACUGGGACUGAGACACGGCCCAGACUCCUACGGGAGGCAGCAGUGGGGAAUUUUGGACAAUGGGGGCAACCCUGAUCCAGCAAUGCCGCGUGAGUGAAGAAGGCCUUCGGGUUGUAAAGCUCUUUUGUCAGGGAAGAAACACCGGCUCUAACACAGUCCGGGAAUGACGGUACCUGAAGAAUAAGCACCGGCUAACUACGUGCCAGCAGCCGCGGUAAGAC
rnacentral:rRNA from 1 species